rnacentral:rRNA from 1 species
UGGGGAAUCAUGGUCAAUGGGCGAAAGCCUGAACCUGCGACGCCGCGUGAGUGAUGAAGGUCGUAAGAUCGUAAAACUCUUUUCAGGGAUCUUAAAGCCUGUCUGUCAACAACAGGCAGGUCUGACUCUCCCUGGAAGAAGCACCAGCCAACUACGUGACAGCAGCUGCGGUAAUACGUAGGGGGCGAGCGUUAUUCGGAAUUACUGGGUGUAAAGGGUAUGUAGGCGGCCCUUCAGGUCGCGUGUCAAAGUCCAGUGCUCAACGCUGGGUGUGCGCGCGAGACUGACGGGCUUGAGGGCUGGAGAGGUGAGCGGAAUUGCCGGUGUAGUGGGAAAAUACGUAGAGAUCGGGAGGAACACCAGCGGCGCAGGCGGCUCACUAGACAGUUUCUGACGCUAAGAUACGAAAGCGUGGGGAGCAAACA